rnacentral:rRNA from 1 species
UUUUUUCCCCGGGGACUAGCAUAUCAAUAAGCGGAGGAWRRGMAASMMACAGGGAUUGCCCUAGUAACGGCGAGUGAAGCGGCAACAGCUCAAAUUUGAAAUCUGGCGUCUUUGGCGUCCGAGUUGUAAUUUGCAGAGGGCGCUUUGGCAUUGGCAGCGGUCCAAGUUCCUUGGAACAGGACGUCACAGAGGGUGAGAAUCCCGUACGUGGUCGCUAGCCUUUACCGUGUAAAGCCCCUUCGACGAGUCGAGUUGUUUGGGAAUGCAGCUCUAAAUGGGAGGUAAAUUUCUUCUAAAGCUAAAUACUGGCCAGAGACCGAUAGCGCACAAGUAGAGUGAUCGAAAGAUGAAAAGCACUUUGGAAAGAGAGUUAAAAAGCACGUGAAAUUGUUGAAAGGGAAGCGCUUGCAGCCAGACUUGCCUGUAGUUGCUCAUCCGGGUUUUUACCCGGUGCACUCUUCUAUAGGCAGGCCAGCAUCAGUUUGGGCGGUUGGAUAAAGGUCUCUGUCACGUACCUCCUCUCGGGGAGAACUUAUAGGGGAGACGUAAUGCAACCAGCCUGGACUGAGGUCCGCGCAUCUGCUAGGAUGCUGGCGUAAUGGCUGUAAGCGGCCCGUCUUGAAACACGGACCAAGGAGUCUAACAUCUAUGCGAGUGUUUGGGUGUCAAGCCCGAGCGCGUAAUGAAAGUGAACGGAGGUGGGAACCUUUCGGGGUGCACCAUCGACCGAUCCUGAUGUCUUCGGAUGGAUUUGAGUAAGAGCAUAGCUGUUGGGACCCGAAAGAUGGUGAACUAUGCUUGAAUAGGGUGAAGCCAGAGGAAACUCUGGUGGAGGCUCGCAGCGGUUCUGACGUGCAAAUCGAUCGUCAAAUUUGGGCAUAGGGGCGAAAGACUAAUCGMMYUMWCWRGYRSCUGGUUCUGCUCUUUCUCUCUCUCCGCGCAGCAGAAAAA